rnacentral:rRNA from 1 species
GCAUGUCUAAGUAUAAGCAAUUAUACCGCGAAACUGCGAAUGGCUCAUUAAAUCAGUUAUCGUCUAUUUGAUAGUACCUUACUACUUGGAUAACCGUGGUAAUUCUAGAGCUAAUACAUGCUGAAAACCCCGACUUCGGAAGGGAUGUAUUUAUUAGAUUAAAAGCCAACGCCCCCCGGGGCUCCCUGGUGAUUCAUGAUAACUGCUCGAAUCGCACGGCCUUGCGCCGGCGAUGGUUCAUUCAAAUUUCUGCCCUAUCAACUUUCGACGGCUGGGUCUUGGCCAGCCGUGGUGACAACGGGUAACGGAGGGUUAGGGCUCGACCCCGGAGAAGGAGCCUGAGAAACGGCUACUACAUCCAAGGAAGGCAGCAGGCGCGCAAAUUACCCAAUCCCGACGCGGGGAGGUAGUGACAAUAAAUACUGAUACAGGGCUCUUUUGGGUCUUGUAAUUGGAAUGAGUACAAUUUAAUUCCCUUAACGAGGAACAAUUGGAGGGCAAGUCUGGUGCCAGCAGCCGCGGUAAUUCCAGCUCCAAUAGCGUAUAUUAAAGUUGUUGCAGUUAAAAAGCUCGUAGUUGAACCUUGGGCCUGGCUGGCCGGUCCGCCUCACCGCGUGCACUGGUCCGGCCGGGCCUUUCCCUCUGGGGAGCCGCAUGCCCUUCGCUGGGCGUGCCGGGGAACCAGGACGUUUACUUUGAAAAAAUUAGAGUGUUCAAAGCAGGCUUAUGCUCGGAUACAUUAGCAUGGAAUAAUGGAAUAGGACGCGUGGUUCUAUUUUGUUGGUUUCUAGGACCGCCGUAAUGAUUAAUAGGGACAGUCGGGGGCAUCAGUAUUCAGUUGCGAGAGGUGAAAUUCUUGGACCAACUGAAGACUAACUACUGCGAAAGCAUUUGCCAAGGAUGUUUUCAUUAAUCAGGAACGAAAGUUAGGGGAUCGAAGACGAUCAGAUACCGUCGUAGUCUUAACCAUAAACUAUGCCGACUAGGGAUCGGGCGGUGUUAUCUUUUGACCCGGCUCGGCACCUUGCACGAAAGUACAAGUUUCUGGGUUCUGGGGGGAGUA